GAUGGGGGAUAACUGCGCGAAAGCGUUGCUAAUACCGCAUACGACCUACGGGUGAAAGCAGGGGACCGCAAGGCCUUGCGUCGAUGGAGCGGCCGAUGCCGGAUUAGCUAGUUGGUGAGGUAAAGGCUCACCAAGGCGACGAUCCGUAGCUGGUCUGAGAGGACGACCCAGCCACACUGGGACUGAGACACGGCCCAGACUCCUACGGGAGGCAGCAGUGGGGAAUCUUGGACAAUGGGCGAAAGCCUGAUCCAGCAAUGCCGCGUGUGGGAAGAAGGCCUUCGGGUUGUAAACCACUUUUGGCGGGAAAGAAAUGGUCUGUGCUAAUACCACGGAUUGAUGACGGUACCCGCAGAAUAAGCACCGGCUAACUACGUG
rnacentral:rRNA from 1 species